UUGACACCUGAAACAGAGUUGGGCAGGAGAAGAUCUGUUAAUAUUCUGCUUCGAUUCACUCAAGGGAUGAGGAUAGGUCAAGUUCAAUUAGACUAAUUGAUUAGCACAUUAAACAGCACUGUCAAUUAAUACUUAAGGAGAAUUAUUUUUGACGGUAUAACCGAGUCACAUUAUUCCCUGUCAGACUGGCCGCCACUCGACUACUGGCCGAUAAAGCAGCGAGAAGUGACGGACAUUUCAAAGAACGUCGGCCAUGUUGGAGCUCUCUCGAGAAAUCUAUUUUCUGUGUUGCGCUGCAUAAUCAUGGGGAAGGUUUUCAUCUCACCUCUUCCCUUCACCAGCCAACGCAGUUCUGCUGUUGCAGAAUGCAAAGUAGUGGACUGAUCACCACAGUUGGCAGAGAGGCCACACAGAAUUAGAGGCACAAAUCACUCCCUCCAUUUUGAAGGAACGCAGGCUGACAGAGUGACUUAUAGUGAAAACGUUCAAGAUUUUGCCCAUAAAUAGAAACGUACAUACUAACAGAUGUAUUAACGUAUGCAAACUGUAUACACCUGCACAUCUAAUAGCAACAAUAAGAUUUCAGGAAGACUCAGUGAUAUAACGGUUACAUGCUAUUAUGACCCCGCCUCCCCCUUCACCCCCAGGUAUGCAAAAGACAAAACAAAGGUAUUUCAAAAUAUGAAUAAUGCUUCUACACUGCUGCCUUUACUGCUAGUUAUUAAACUGCAGUAAUAUAUUAGAUUUAAAAAACAAAACAAAAAACACCAAGAUAAACAGCCAAGGACACAUUGCCAAGGACUGAGCUUGUAGCAAAGAUUGGUCCAAAUAUCACGUCAAACGGUAUAGUAUUGGUACAUGUUUGAAGAGUCAGAUGAACAAGUUCAUGUAAAAUAUAUUAAUGUAUUAUGUACUAAGCUGUAAUUUGCCGGUCGGAGCAACAAACUCGGAUGAGUGAUGUAUACAGUGCUGUCAAAAAGUAUUUGCCCCCAUCCUGUUUUGUUCUGUUUUUGUGUACAUCUCGUACUACAUUGUUGCAGAAAUUAAAACAGAAUCUAAUAUCAAACAAAGGCAGUGGGUUCAGCUGGACGAGACACAACCAGGUUCGCUUUAAACCCUGUUCAAUCAAAUCAGCACUUAAAUAGAACUUUUUCAACAGCAUGACAUUGGUUAAAAGGUCUUACCCAGUAACACAUUAUGCCAAAAUUGAAAGAAAUUCCAGAAAUGAUGAGGAAGAAGGUGAUUGAAAUACAUCAGUCUGGGAAGGGUUACAAAGUUAUGUCAAAGGCUCUGGGACUCUAAAGCACCACAGUGAGAGUAAUUAUCUCCAAAUGGAAAAAACUCAGCACAGUAGUGAACCUUCCCAGAAAUGGCCGACCUUCCAAAAUUCCUCUAAGAGCACAGCAACGACUCAUCCAGCAAGUCACAAAAGAGCCAAGGAGAACAUCAAAGGACCUACAGACCUCUCCUGCAUCAAUAAAAGUCACUGUUCAUGACUCCACUAUCAGAAAGACACUGGGCAAAAAUGGCAUCCAUGGAAGAGUAGCGAGGCGAAAACCACUGCUAACCCAGAAGAACAUUAAGGCUCCUCUGAAUUUUGCCAAAACAUACCUUGAUGAUCCUUAAACCUUUUUUAUUUUGAUUAUCUUUAAUGUUUUCCUUUUGUUUGGGUGUGUAAUGUAUCUGUUUGUGCAUGUAUAAGAUCUGCAAAGUCACAAAGCUCAUAGUCUCCCCCAAAGGGAUUUAUUUUACCUAACAGAGAACACUACUCCAGACCGGCCCAAAACGCGUCGUUUCGAAGUCCAGAUAUUACUUCCGCAAAUGUCUACAUCACAGCGUGCACUAUUAACAUAAUCCCAUCCAAAGGCAGGUGCAAAGAAAGAAGAGGACAGCUUCCUGAACCUGGGUGAGUACAAGGCAGGCUACACAAAAAGCUACUCCUGAAAAAAUGGGGCGAUUCCCACUUUCCUCAGACAAGCUUGUGCUUCUGCAUCAGAACCAUUUAUAUCAAUCGAAUCACAGGAAUCUUAGCUUUCCAGAGACAUAUUGUGAGUACCCAUGUACAAAUAGAAGCUGUGUAUAUGGCAUAGUUUUUCACAAACGAGCCAGUCCGCCAUCAGAAUUUACAACGUAUCUGAAAGGGAAGCUGUUUAAUUAUGCGAAUUUCAAACUUGUCUCUAAUGAUGGGUUAUGAGUCAGGCCUGGAAAUAAGCAUAAACAGAGAAACAUGGCAUAAGCAGGGAGAAAACAGCAUAAUUAUCUUGAGGUGUAAGAUGUAAAACUGGACCAGGCGUGGGAGUGUGUUGAGGUGAUCAAAACACUACUUAAACAAGUUUUUCACCCAAUGGUCCAGCAGUGUGGUGAAACAGUAGAAUAAGUACAUAUGUUUUGUAUUCAUGUGCCAAAGAGUGUGCUCUUCAGAAAAGAAGCUACUGUAAAAACCCUCCCAUCUUAAUUCAGCUUGUAACCUAAUGAUGCAUAAAAAAAACUGCUUUAUUACUGAGCAAACUAACAGAAACUAGCUCAGACGUCUGGUUUGUAUGAACACUUGGUGAUGUGAAUAUUGGGAUGUCUUUUCAACAGUCACACUUGGGAAUAUUGAAUAUAACGUGUUAGGUGUUUGUGGGUGUGUAAGGACCAUAAUAUUAUUAUGUAUAAAAAAAAUUCCACCACCCUUGUAUCCGCUGAUGUCUCUUUAGACGGUAUGCAAGACCCCUUUUUUGCUUAUAGCCCAUCUAUGAUUGUAUAGUCCAUCCAUCCUCUACCACUUACUCCUUUUCAGGGGGAACCUGGAACCAGGAAGCAUCGGGCACCAUCGCAGGGCACAAUCAUAUACACACUCACACACACCCAUUCAUACACUAUGGACAAUUUAGACACGCCAAUCAGCCUAUUGGAGGAAACCCCCGUAGCACGGGGGGAACAUGCAAACUCCGCACACACGGCCCCGGCGGGAAUCGAACCCCGGACCCUGGAGGUGUGAGGCGAAUGUGCUAACCACUAAGCCACCGUGUGCCCUGAUUGUAUAGUUUGUACUCAAAAACAGGAACAGGAAUUGAAACAGGAAGUGUGUGUUCUUCCCAGUUCACUUCUGGAAAACUGCUUUAACAAGCUGAGAUCGUUUCACUAUGAAGCAAAUUGUGGAGAUCGAUUUUUCAUGGCUGGCUUAAAAUUACGAGGCACAGAAAUAAGAAUCAGAGUAAGCUGCCUAGCAGCAGCACUAUUGUGCACAUUUGUAACUACUGUUUCUGUAUACAGACUACAAGCUGCCCACAGAACAGAAAAUAAAUAAAUAAAUCAAAGAUCGUCAGUUAGGGAAAACCACCAGGAAAAAAAAAAUGGAAACACAACCUGAAAUUCAAUCCUGGCAAACGUAGUACAGUUUCACAAAGCUGACCUUGUUUAAAUGCUCCCACAUAUAUUCCCAUAAGAAAUACUUACACUUCCCGUGUGCUGCUUAUAAUUUCACAGUUUUCAUACUUUCAGCUUUUUUCAACGCAGUGGUUACAACACAACUACCACCACGGGACCGCUGUGAAUUUUAGCUGAGCAAGCCAAAGUUUGCGAAUAAAGCCCUGAGAAAAUAGUAAGUAGCACAUUCUGAAAAUAAACUGUCACACAAAAUGAAAUUAAGUUCUAAUGAACAGGGAAGUACAAUGGCGGUCUGGUUUCUGUUCCCCUGAGACACACUCACUGUGCCACCGAUGACUCUAAUCAUAGGCAGACGGAUUUUGCGGCUGCCUGCCAGAUAUGGAUGAUAUGUAAAUUCGGCUGCUGUCUUCUAUCCAUACAAGUCGGAGAGAAUUUAUUUCUUAGUUAGAGGGGGUAUAUGUGGGUGCAUGUGUUAUCAUUAGGCCACUGGGAAUUAAUCGCCUAACUAUGCCCAUAUAUAAUUUGCAUGACAGAGAGAAAGACAGAAUGAUCUGUGAGGAGAGCGUUACUUAUGCUGCUCAUAUAUCAUAAUCAUUUAUCCCCACGAGUCCCUUUAUGAAGUGCUCAAUGAGGGACGGCCUGUGUAUUGUGUGUGAUGUAAGUAAUUAAGAUUCCAUCCAAAUGUACACUGAUGCGGAGCAGGAACUCGGGGUGGUUUCAAAUUGCUCUCACAAAGGAUCUGCAGUUUUACAUAAAAAUAGAGAUGCCGGCAUUUGGACAUUUUUCCUCUUGCUGUGGGACCAAUAUCACAGAUGGCUGUGAAGCUUUGACUGAACAGGCUUUGACAAAGCAUUAAAAAAAAGAAAAAUGCAUGUAAUGACUAAUCUCGCUAACCAAAAUCAAAAUGGCUAUUAAGUAAGAAACACGAUAUGGCGUGCUAUUACAAGAAAAUAAUCCACUACAUGAAGCGGAGCAGACCCCGAAGUGGAUUAUUUAUUCCUCUAGCAAUUUUAUUCAUUUUAUUCCACAGCAAACUGCCAACGAUUGCAACUGUAUAUAAUUUUUUAACUAGCUACACGUUUUUUUAACCAUAUCUAGCCACAUUUAAUGCUGUGAAACCUCUCAGAAACAACUUGGUUGCUAUUAUAAUUUAUACUAUAGCAGCCGUUCCUGCUUUUUUCCCCUCUCACUUGAAGUUAAUAAGACAAAAACACAGCAUGUCAUUUUGCUGAGAAACUCAGAA